AGGAUCAUUCGCAAUGGGCGCAAGCCUGACGAUGCGACGCUGCGUGGAGGAUGAUGGCCUUCGGGUCGUAAACUCCUGUCAUGGGGGAAAAGGCGAGGGGACCCAACACGUCCCUUAGUUGAUGGUACUCCAAGAGGAAGGGACGGCUAACGCUGUGCCAGCAGCCGCGGUAAUACAGAGGUCCCUAGCGUUGUUCGGAUUUACUGGGCGUAAAGGGCACGUAGGCGGCAUGGCGUGUCGAGUGUGAAAUCUCCGGGCCCAACCCGGAAAGUGCGCUCGAAACUACCAUGCUGGAGUACGGGAGAGGGAAUCGGAAUGCAGGGUGUAGCGGUGAAAUGCGUUGAUAUCCUGCAGAACACCGGAGGCGAAGGCGGAUUCCUGGAACGUUACUGACGCUAAGGUGCGAAAGUCGGGGGAGCGAACA
rnacentral:rRNA from 1 species